CAUCAACCUUAUCUUUUAACUCUUUGUCUGAAAAAUAUUAUGAAUAAACAAUUCAAAAUACAACUUUCAACAACGGAUCUCUUGGCUCUCGCAUCGAUGAAGAACGCAGCGAAAUGCGAUACGUAAUGUGAAUUGCAGAAUUCAGUGAAUCAUCGAAUCUUUGAACGCAUAUUGCGCUCUUUGGUAUUCCGAAGAGCAUGCUUGUUUGAGUAUCAGUAAACACCUCAAAGCUUUUGGAUUUUUUUUUGAAAGUUUUGGACUUGAGCAAUCCCAACACCAAUCUUUUUCAGAUCGGUGGCGGGUUGCUUGAAAUGCAGGUGCAGCUGGACAUUCUCCUGAGCUAAAAGCAUAUUCAUUUAGUCCCGUCAAACGGAUUAUUACUUUUGCUGCAGCUAACAUAAAGGGAGUUUGACCGUAUUGGCUGACUGAUGCAGGAUUUCACAAGGGUCGGCAACGAUUCUUGUUAAACUCGAUCUCAAAUCAAGUAAGACUACCCGCUGAACUUAA
rnacentral:rRNA from 1 species